UACGAGGGGGGCGAGCGUUGUUCGGAAUUAUUGGGCGUAAAGGGUGCGUAGGCGGUUUGGUAAGUCUUAUGUGAAAUCUACAGGCUCAACUUGUAGUCUGCAUGAGAAACUGCCGGGCUUGAGUAUGGGAGAGGUGAGUGGAAUUCCUGGUGUAGCGAUGAAAUGCGUAGAUAUCAGGAGGAACACCUGUGGCGAAAGCGGCUCACUGGACCAUAACUGACGCUGAUGCACGAAAGCUAGGGGAGCAAACAGG
rnacentral:rRNA from 1 species